GUCCUGCCUCAACGACAAACCUCAUUCGUCCCUCACCACCAACCACCACUGUAACCUUCUCUCUCAGACUCUCACCCUAGUACAGGCCUCGUCCCUCACCACCAACCACCGCCGGCUUGAAUUCAUCCUCGUCAAACAACCACCGACUUCAAUUCGCUCUCGUCAACAACCUUCUUUCGCACCCAUUCUUUCUUCUCAGCGCUCCGUUUUCUCUCUCCUCGACAACGCUUCCAAUGGCCCCCACUCAGGUCCCGCACCGGUUGAAGAGAGACCAUGGCAUAGAAGGUGGAAUCUCUGUGGUUUUCUCCUUGGAAAAACCCAAAGUGAAGCUGCUUCCAUUUAAGGCAAUCAUGGGAAUCUGGAGUUCUAGCUGAUGGCUGGCUAGCGAACUUGAAACGAAGAGUCAGUGCAUUCAUCAUGGUGUUAAUGAAACUAGAUCUACAAAAGGUAAUAUUGAGUAGCCUCAGACUUCAAGAGUUCUGCCAACUUACGAAGUCUAUAUUUCUCUUUAAUAAUUCUGCCAAUCUGGCCGACAUGGUGAAGCACUUGAUGCAAAUACAAAUUACUUGGACAUGAUGCAACUACAAACAAAAUUGGUUAAGGUUUUUUGUUACUUUUCCUUUCUCUCUCUAAUCUAGAUAAAUGAGCCCUAAGGGGUAAUUCAUCUUUAUGCAGUUGCUCGAGCUGGUGCAGCCGGUGUUUCUGUUCUGCGACUUCUUCUUCUUUGUUCUAUCUUUUGCUUGUUUACAGUUGUUGCUGUCACUUGUCCUUGUUUUGGUGAUGUUGUACAGUGACAUUGAUGCUAAGAUUACAUUUGAACUAAGUUCUAUUUUUUUAUUCUCUAGCUAGUUAUGUUAUUUGAUGGAUAUUGGAUAGUA